UCCCACUAAGUUUUUAAAGCAAUACUGAAACUUUGCAUGCCCUACCACCCUUUAAAAAUUGAGCUUCAUUCCAAGCAAUUAACAGUGAAACAAGGAAUAUAUGUUGUCGAUGAAUACAACAAUUAACGAAAAAGUCUUCAACAAGUGGAGUGAACUAUAAUGAUAAUGCCAAACAUUUCAUAGAUGAAAUUUUUUUCAGUUCACACAAUUUGACAACAUAUAUUUGCAAUAACACAGAAAUGAUUUCGAAGCUAAAAUAUGGAAUUGAUUGUGGACUCUAAAUUCAGAAAGAAGGAAUAUGAUUUAAUUAUUAAUAGGAAUAGGUAAUAAAAUGUUUCAAACAUAGGCCCAAUGCAAAGAAGAAGAACCAAUAGGUAUCUAAGAAGAGAAAAAUUUAAAAACAAACUUAUUUCCCCAAAAAAAAUUAAUGAUUCACCAAAACAUUGAAUUUGUCAAUUAUAGACAAUUUAGUAUUUUCAAUCAUAAUAUAUACAACACACAAUAUUACUCUAUUCUGCAUUAAAAACCCAAAGGAAAUGUUUUUCGAGAUUUAUGUGUUUCUAAAAAAAUAAAGACACUUUAAUAUGAAAUUCUCAUCUUUCCUCCUAUGACCCUUCAAUCUGAAAUUGUCAUCAUUCUUCCUCUGACCCUUCAAUUGAAAAUAUACAUUCAUUUAAAUUUAUUAUCAAGGCGAAAUGUCAAACCUAUCCUCAUAUGAAACAAGCUAGUAAGCAUAAUACUAUGGAAACGAAAGAACUAAUUGAAGCUUACGAAGAAAAUAUAUA